rnacentral:sRNA from 1 species
UUGACGCCCGCGUUAAGGAUUGCAGCGGCAUCCUUUUUUGUGCUUAGUUUAAAAUUUUAAAUGAUUUCGAACUUAGAUCUGAGUCACUUAUUUGAUGUGAUACUGAAGCAAGUUCAGCACAAAAAAGAUAUAGCGAAAAGCCUGACCCGAU